rnacentral:rRNA from 1 species
UACGGAGGAUCCAAGCGUUAUCCGGAUUUAUUGGGUUUAAAGGGUGCGUAGGCGGCCUGUUAAGUCAGGGGUGAAAGACGGUAGCUCAACUAUCGCAGUGCCCUUGAUACUGAUGGGCUUGAAUACACUAGAGGUAGGCGGAAUGUGACAAGUAGCGGUGAAAUGCAUAGAUAUGUCACAGAACACCGAUUGCGAAGGCAGCUUACUAUGGUGCCAUUGACGCUGAGGCACGAAAGCGUGGGGAUCAAACAGG